UUAGUGGCGGACGGGUGAGUAACGCGUGAGUAACCUGCCUUCAAGAGGGGGAUAACAUUCUGAAAAGAAUGCUAAUACCGCAUGACAUAUCGGAAUCACAUGGUUUUGAUAUCAAAGAUUUUAUCGCUUGAAGAUGGACUCGCGUCCGAUUAGUUAGUUGGUGAGGUAACGGCUCACCAAGACCGCGAUCGGUAGCCGGACUGAGAGGUUGAACGGCCACAUUGGGACUGAGACACGGCCCAGACUCCUACGGGAGGCAGCAGUGGGGGAUAUUGCGCAAUGGGGGCAACCCUGACGCAGCAACGCCGCGUGAAGGAUGAAGGUUUUCGGAUUGUAAACUUCUUUUAUUAAGGACGAAAAAUGACGGUACUUAAUGAAUAAGCUCCGGCUAACUACGUGCCAGCAGCCGCGGUAAUACGUAGGGAGCAAGCGUUGUCCGGAUUUACUGGGUGUAAAGGGUGCGUAGGCGGCUUUGCAAGUCAGAUGUGAAAUCUAUGGGCUCAACCCAUAAACUGCAUUUGAAACUGUAGAGCUUGAGUGAAGUAGAGGCAGGCGGAAUUCCCCGUGUAGCGGUGAAAUGCGUAGAGAUGGGGAGGAACACCAGUGGCGAAGGCGGCCUGCUGGGCUUUAACUGACGCUGAGGCACGAAAGCGUGGGUAGCAAACAGGAUUAGAUACCCUGGUAGUCCACGCUGUAAACGAUGAUUACUAGGUGUGGGGGGUCUGACCCCUUCCGUGCCGGAGUUAACACAAUAAGUAAUCCACCUGGGGAGUAC
rnacentral:rRNA from 1 species